AUUGAACGCUGGCGGCAGGCUUAACACAUGCAAGUCGAGCGAGCGGCGGACGGGUGAGUAAUGUCUGGGAAACUGCCUGAUGGAGGGGGAUAACUACUGGAAACGGUAGCUAAUACCGCAUACCAUCAGAUGUGCCCAGAUGGGAUUAGCUAGUAGGUGGGGGAAUGGCUCACCGAGGCGACGAUCCCUAGCUGGUCUGAGAGGAUGACCGGCAACACGUGAAAUGAAACACGGUCCAGACUCCUACGGGAGGCAGCAGGGGGGAAUAUUGCAAAAUGGGCGCAAGCCGGAUGAAGCCAUGCCGCGUGUGUGAAGAAGGCCUUCGGGUUGUAAAGCACGUUCAGCGAGGAGGCGUUACUCGCAGAAGAAGCACCGGCUAACUCCGUGCCAGCAGCCGCGGUAAUUC
rnacentral:rRNA from 1 species